AAAACAGUGCUUUCAGAGGUUGUUUCUGUAGUACUGGGUUAAGAAAUGUGUUUAAAAAAUUGUUGUGUUUUUUUUUUACCAUACUUGUGAUGUCUGAUGUGUUUUUUGUGCAUUAAAUGGUUUGAAGCUGGUGAUUCUUUCAUCAGUUUUAGUUAUUGACGAAUGUUCUUUGUUUCUUAUAAUGAGAAAGAGUGCAUGAUCUGAGUGGU